UACGUAGGGUGCGAGCGUUGCCCGGAUUUAUUGGGCGUAAAGGGCGCGUAGGCGGCCACGCACGUCCGUUGUGAAAUCGCCCGGCUCAACUGGGCGGGGUCGGCGGAUACGGCGUGGCUGGAGCAAGCUAGGGGGCAAUGGAAUUCCCGGUGUAGUGGUGGAAUGCGUAGAUAUCGGGAGGAACACCAGUGGCGAAGGCGGUUGCCUGGAGCUUUGCUGACGCUGAGGCGCGAAAGCGUGGGGGAGCGAUCCGG
rnacentral:rRNA from 1 species